UGGGCUGGAUAGCGGCCCACGUGCGCCUGCUU
rnacentral:sRNA from 1 species